GCGCACGGGUGAGUAACAGGUAUGCAAUCUACCGCCAACUGGGGAAUAACCCGUCGAAAGACGGACUAACACCGCAUAAGACCACAUUCUGGCAUCGGAAAGAGGUAAAAUAUUUAUAGGUUGGCGAUGAGCAUGCUUAAUAUUAGGUAGUUGGUAGGGUAACAGCCUACCAAGCCGACGAUAUUUAGGGGUUCUGAGAGGAAGGUCCCCCACACUGGAACUGAGACACGGUCCAGACUCCUACGGGAGGCAGCAGUGAGGAAUAUUGGUCAAUGGUCGGAAGACUGAACCAGCCAUGCCGCGUGAAGGAAGAAUGCCUUAUGGGUUGUAAACUUCUUUUUUACGGGAACAAUAAGUGUUACGUGUAACACGACGAGGGUACCGUACGAAUAAGCAUCGGCUAACUCCGUGCCAGCAGCCGCGGUAAUACGGAGGAUGCGAGCGUUAUCCGGAUUUAUUGGGUUUAAAGGGUGCGUAGGCUGACUUAUAAGUCAGAGGUGAAAUACUACAGCUUAACUGUAGAAUUGCCUUUGAUACUGUAGGGCUUGAGUACAUCUGAGGUAGGCGGAAUGUGCAGUGUAGCGGUGAAAUGCUUAGAUAUUGCACAGAACACCGAUUGCGAAGGCAGCUUACUAAGAUGUAACUGACGCUGAAGCACGAAAGUGUGGGGAUCAAACAGGAUUAGAUACCCUGGUAGUCCACACUGUAAACUAUGAUUACUGGAUGUUUGUUGGGCAACUGAUGAGCGUCUCAAGCGAAAGCAUUAAGUAAUCCACCUGGGGAGUACGUCGGCAACGAUGAAACUCAAAGGAAUUGACGGAAUCA
rnacentral:rRNA from 1 species